AGGCAGAUCGCAUAAACCCGCCAGCCAAACUGAAUCUUUGUUAAAACUCACUCCUGUUGUUGCCAGAUAACAGCCAGAAGGAAGGACCUUAAUCUGCGGCUGGGCUGCCCGCCGGAGGAGCGAGUGGGGCGGGCGGGGCCGGGCGGGGCGCAGAGGGGAGCCCUGGCGCCGCCCCCGCGCUCGGCCGGCGGCGGGGCGAGGGGCGGGGCCGGGCGGGCUGCGGCGUAGAGGCCGUCGCGAGAGAACGGCAGGGAACGGCGGGCGGAACCCGCUUCCGGGAAAGGGCAGGUCCGUGGGGGCGUGGGGGAGAGCGGCUUCCGGCAGGGAGCGCGCGCAGGGGGCGUGGCCUCGGCUGCUUGCGGUGGGGGUCCGUCGUAUUGGCGGCCGGCGGUCCGCAGCUGGCUGUGUCCUGCUGUGCUGCUUUCCUGCUCGUUAACUCGGGGCCUAGUGGUGACACAGCCUCUGCUUUCCCGGCUGUUUUGGCCUAAUCUUUUAAGGGUGACAUCCGUGUUUCGUGUCCACUGCUCUCCCCCCCAGGUAAUCUUUGGUCUGGCCAAUAGAUGAGGCACGUUCCUCGGUGGUAAAGAGAUAAGUUGCAGACAUCUGUCGCCGAAUUUAUCAGCCAUUAUUUUUGGCAUGGAAGGCAGAAAAGGAUCCUUCCCCGAGGGAUGAGUGGAAGCUGCACAAGCAUUCAGUACACUGAGCUUAAGAAUUAUUAUCAUCGGCAGAAGGGACGUGAAGCACUGAGACUGUUAGAUUACUAUUAUUUUUUAAUAUCCAGGGACCUGUCCAUGCAUGAAGGGUUUUACAGCUCCCAAACAAAGCAGGGAUAAAAAAGGAGAGUUCCCACAUUAAUAACAAAAAUUCAAAUAACAGCUUCCUGGUAACUGUAUCUUUCCCUAUAAGAUCAGCAACUUAAAUGGGAGCUUUGUGUAAACAUGGCAUAAGCAAUGCAGAGUAACCUGAUAAUAACGUAGAAAUUGGCUGCUAAGUACAUAUUUGUAUUUUAUGAGGCUGCAGCCAUUCUAGUGUUUGCCUCACAGAAGACACUGUUGGCAGUCAGAGCUUAAGCCAGCUGAGUAUAUUUUUUUUAGAAUGGUGGUGAGAAUGGGGGGGGGAACGUGAGCAGAAACUACACAGGCUGUCUUGAGUGCUUUCCUCCUCCCCACAGCGGCUGUGUGUGGUUUCCAGGUUUGGUAGUUGGAGUUUUUAUCAGCUCAGAUGGAAAUCUUCCACCUCCAUGCUAGCACAAUACAGCCUUUGUGUGCAGUUUGCAGAGCAGGUGCACUUUAAGACCUUCUGUGCUGUUCUCUGUGCUCAGCUUUGUGCAGGUUCUGACAUCUUAGACAUUUAGCCAGUGCUUAGGCCAUCUCCCUCUAGGCUUUAGUUUCUUUGGCCUCACAUUUCAGUAUGAGCUAAUUUCUGCACACUCCUCAGACUCUGAGAAACUGUUAGCAAUAAAAGAGCUAUUCAGAUGCAGUUCUUUUUGAUUUAUUACCAGAAUAAACUCACUUAGACAAAGGAAUUUUGGAUCCUGUUAACUAGAGAAGAAGGAAUGCUGAUAACACCACGUCAACAGAACAGUGAAAAAGACACACAUUUUGGAUAUUUCACCACAGGGGAACGUUUGCAUACUAACUAGGCUUAGUCUCUUAAUGAGACCGUAAAAAUGUUGAAGAGUGAUAGCAUGACUCUAUACAUUCUGGCUCAGGAGCCUUCAAGAAAUUCUGGUCCAAAUUUGGCAUCUCUGAGUAUUGACUCACUAUUAAUUUAUAAAUACCUAUUUGCAGCACUCCUCAGUUGAAAGAGUCAUAGUUCACGUGGCAUUAAUACUGUGGUCUGCAGCUGUUCUAUAUACUUCCUAGCGUGCCAAGAAGCCAAAAUUAAAAUGUUAAUUUCGUCUCCAGUGAUUAUUCUGUCCUGAGCAUUCACUUGAAAUCAUGCAGUUUUAGGGAUCAUUAAUUGUGGGAAGGACAUCACUUGUGGCUAACAAAAUGUAGGGGCAGUCACUGUUUUCCCUUUCCUGUUCCCUUCACCUUCUGUUGAUUGGUAAUCAUACCCCUUCACGUUGCAUGGAGGGAAGGAAGCUCCACUACUGACAUUGACAAAGUCUUUGUAUUGAUUUAAUAGCUGUACACAUCAUAACAAAACAAAA
rnacentral:lncRNA from 1 species